rnacentral:lncRNA from 1 species
AUGGCAGACGAAAAAGUUGAUAAGCUGGAUACUAAGGAGGAAAAACCUGAUGCCAAGAAGGCUGAUGCCAGUGGUAACAUUAAAAAGGCUAACCUUCAGGCUAAAAAGUCCAAGAAGAGGAAGGCCCACUGCAGCCAAGGUCCUGUUCUCAUCACAGGAAUUGGCAGAUAUUUUUGGUCUGCCAUGUAUUCCCAAAAGGCCAUGAACAAGAAGUACUCAACUGCUAAAUACAGAAUUGAAAGAUUCUUGCAACUGUUACAAAACCAGUUGAUGGUGACAAGAAUGGUGGUAACCCGGUGGUUAAACUUUGCAUAAUGUGUAGCUAUGAUCCUAUUGAAGAUGUGCCUUCAAAGCCGUUGAGCCACAGCAAGAAACCCUUCAAUCGGCAUGUGAGAAAACUAUAGGCUAGCAUCUUUCCUGGGACCAUUCUGAUCAUCCUCACUGAAUGCCACAGAGGCAAGCAGGUGGUUUUUCUGAAGCAGCUGGGCAAUGGCUUGCAACUUGUGACUGGAAUACUGGUCCUCAAUCUAGUUCCUCUAUGAAGAACACACCAAAAAUUUGUCAUUGGCACUUCCACAAAAAUUGAUAUCAGCAGUGUGAAAAUCCCAAAACAUCUCACUGAUGUAUACUUCAAGAAAAAGCAGCUGUGGAAACACAGACACUAGGAAGGUGAGAUUUUUGACCAAGAAAAUGAGAAAUACAAGACUAUAGAGCAGUGCAAGGCUGAUCAGAGAGCUGUGGACUCACAAACUUUACCAAAAAUCAAAGCGAGCUGUCAGCUCCAGGGCUACCUGUGAUCUGUUUGCCCCAAUGAAUGGAGUUUAUCCUCAAAUAUUGG